GACGAACGCUGGCGGCGUGCUUAACACAUGCAAGUCGAGCGGUAAGGCCCUUUUGGGGGUACACGAGCGGCGAACGGGUGAGUAACACGUGGGUGACCUGCCCUCAGCUCUGGGAUAAGCCUGGGAAACUGGGUCUAAUACCGGAUAUGCACUGCUUAUCGCAUGGUGGGUGGUGGAAAGUCCUGUUCUGUAAUGGAUUGGGGCGGCUGGGGAUGGGCCCGCGGCCUAUCAGCUGUUGGUGGGGUGAUGGCCUACCAAGGCGACGACGGGUAGCCGGCCUGAGAGGGCGACCGGCCACACUGGGGA
rnacentral:rRNA from 1 species